rnacentral:rRNA from 1 species
AGAGUUUGAUCCUGGCUCAGGACGAACGCUGGCGGCGCGCUUAACACAUGCAAGUCGAACGAGGUCCAACCUUCGGGUGAAGACCUAGUGGCGAACGGGUGCGUAACACGUGAGCAACCUGCCCCGAAGACUGGGAUAACAGCGGGAAACCGCUGCUAAUACCGGAUAUCCCCACUUGAUCGCAUGGUCGGGUGAGGAAAUGGAUUCCGCUUCGGGAGGGGCUCGCGGCCUAUCAGCUUGUUGGUGAGGUAACGGCUCACCAAGGCGACGACGGGUAGCUGGUCUGAGAGGACGAUCAGCCACACUGGGACUGAGACACGGCCCAGACUCCUACGGGAGGCAGCAGUGGGGAAUCUUGCGCAAUGGGCGAAAGCCUGACGCAGCAACGCCGCGUGAGGGAUGACGGCCUUCGGGUUGUAAACCUCUUUCGAGCAGGGACGAUGAUGACGGUACCUGCAGAAGAAGCUCUGGCCAACUACGUGCCAGCAGCCGCGGUAAUACGUAGGGAGCGAGCGUUGUCCGGAUUCAUUGGGCGUAAAGAGCUCGUAGGCGGUUCGGUAAGUCGGAUGUGAAACCCCCAGGCUCAACCUGGGGCCGCCAUCCGAUACUGCCGUGACUCGAGUCCGGUAGGGGCCCACGGAACUCCUGGUGUAGCGGUGAAAUGCGCAGAUAUCAGGAAGAACACCGAUGGCGAAGGCAGUGGGCUGGGCCGGUACUGACGCUGAGGAGCGAAAGCGUGGGGAGUGAACAGGAUUAGAUACCCUGGUAGUCC